GGGCACUUGGCACAGUGGUAGCGCGCAUGCUUCGCACUGAGCGAGGUUGCAUGAGGUCGGGAGUUCAAUCCUCCCAGUGUCCA
rfam:Punctularia strigosozonata HHB-11173 SS5 unplaced genomic scaffold PTNSTscaffold_1, whole genome shotgun sequence.